GAAAAAGAAAAAGAAAAAGAAACAACAGCUAGCCAACCUAAAGAAAGGUACCGUGUAUACAUAGCCUAAUAUCACACGAGGCUGGACCCAGCGCCGUGGCUGAUUGGUGUCCAGUGUGAUCACUCUGUGGCAUUUGUUUUCCCUCCAGAUGAGCACGAUGCCAGGGCUUCCCACUCGGCCCUGCUUUUAUGACAUAGACCUGGACACAGAAACUGAGCAAGUGAAAGGUUUGUUCUAACUGCAGGAGACCCUCCCAGGACCACUCCAGGUAAGCUGUUGCAUUUUUACUUUUUCUUCCUUUUCUGUUGAUUCAGUUAAAAUGCUUUUUUUGUUUUUCUGAUACUGGUUAUAAAAGUGAUUAGUUGCUGGACACUGUGGUGCACACCCGUCAUCCCAGCAGCUCAGGAGGCUGAGGCAGGAGGAUCACAAGUUCAAAGCCAGCCUCAGCAACAGCAAGGUGUUAAGCAACUCGGUGAGACCCUGUCUCUAAAUAAAAUUCAAACUAGGGCUGGGGAUGUGGCUUAGAGGUCCUGUAUUUACUCCCCUAUACAAAAAAAAAAAAAAAGUGAUUAAAGUCCUUCCUUGAUUCCUACAAGUUCCUACCUCAUGGCUGUCCAUGAGUUGGGUCCACUCCCAGGUGUGGACUUGGAAUUAGUGGUCAGUCCUCAGGCCCUUUGAAAGAGUAACUUCUUACCUCUCUACCACACAUUCUUUGGUACAGAGUAGAUGCUCAUGAGUCAGAGAAACCUCGGUGUGUUCAUUUCCUAGAGCUACCAUAACGGAGUACCCCAGAAGGAGGGCUUAAAACAAGAGAAAUUUGCCCUCCUGCCGUGCUGGAGGUGUGAAGGUCAGGGUCAAGGUGUCAUGCUUCCUUCAAGGGUGCCUUGGGGAAUCCCCACCACACAGUGCCUCACUCCAGUCUCUCCCUGGGGUUCUCCUGUGAGUCUGUCUUCACGUGGCCUUCUCUUCCUGUAACGACACCAGUCAUAUUGGACUCAGGCCCAACAUAAUGACCUCAUCUUUUUUUUUUUAAGGAUUCAUUUUUUUAUUUGUUCUAACUAGUUAAACAUGACAGUAGAAUGCAUUUUGACACAUUAUACAUAAAUGGCAUAUAACUUCUCAUUCUUCUGGUUGUACAUGAUAUAGAAUCACACAGGUCAUAUAGUCAUAUGCACGUAGGGUAAUAAUGUCUGGUUCAUUCUACUAUCUUUCCUACACUCCUAUCCCCUCCCCUCCCUUCACUCCCCUCUGUCUAAUCCAAAGUACCUUUAUUCUUCCCUAGAUGCCCCCCCAUUAUGAAAUAGAAUCUGUGUAUCAAAGAAAACAUUUAGCCUUUGUUUUGGGGGGAUUGGCUUCUUUGGUAUUAGCAUGAUAUUCUCCAGUUCCAUCCAUUUACCAGAAAAUGCUAUAAUUUCAUUCUUCUUUAAGGCUGAGUAAUAGUCCAUUGUGUAUAUACACACCAUAUUUUCUUUAUCCAUUCAUCUGUUGAAGGGCAUCUAGGUUGGUUCCAUAGUUUAGCUAUUGGGAAUUGAGAUGCUAUGAACAUUGAUGUGGCUAUAUCACUGUAGUAUGCUGAUUUUAAGUCCAUUGGGUAUAAACCAAGGAGUGAGAUAACUAGGUCAAGUGGUGGUUCCAUUCUGAGUUUUCUGAGGAAUCUCCACACUGCUUUCUAAAGUAGUUGCACCAAUUUUCAGUCCCCCCCACCCAGCAGUGUAGGAAUGUACCUUUUCCCCCCACAUCCUCACCAAUGACCUCAUCUUCACAAAGUUACUCUGCGUAAGACCCCAUUUUUCAAAUAAGGUCACUGUCACAGGUGCUCAGUAUUCUUUGGGAGACACAUUCAACCC
rnacentral:lncRNA from 1 species